GACGAACGCUGGUGGCGUGCCUAAUACAUGCAAGUAGAACGCUGAAGAGAGGAGCUUGCUCUUCUUGGAUGAGUUGCGAACGGGUGAGUAACGCGUAGGUAACCUGCCUUGUAGCGGGGGAUAACUAUUGGAAACGAUAGCUAAUACCGCAUAACAAUGGAUGACACAUGUCAUUUAUUUGAAAGGGGCAAUUGCUCCACUACAAGAUGGACCUGCGUUGUAUUAGCUAGUAGGUGAGGUAAUGGCUCACCUAGGCGACGAUACAUAGCCGACCUGAGAGGGUGAUCGGCCACACUGGGACUGAGACACGGCCCAGACUCCUACGGGAGGCAGCAGUAGGGAAUCUUCGGCAAUGGGGGCAACCCUGACCGAGCAACGCCGCGUGAGUGAAGAAGGUUUUCGGAUCGUAAAGUUCUGUUGUAAGUCAAGAACGGGUGUGAGAGUGGAAAGUUCACACUGUGACGGUAGCUUACCAGAAAGGGACGGCUAACUACGUG
rnacentral:rRNA from 1 species